rnacentral:lncRNA from 1 species
UGCAGAUACCUCACACAUGUUUUUGGAUCCCCACAGAAAUGGCUGAUGAACACAGUCAACCACAAAAGCCCCCUUUCUCUAUUAAAUUCCACAUAAAGAGCAGCCGUUAGAGUUCUGGAAAUUUAUUUUCAAAUUGUCAGCAUAUUGUUAUAUAUGUGCUCUUAAUUCAUUUUUGACCACAUACCAAAGUAAAUGCUGUCAGCAAGAGCACCCUGGAUUGCUUCACAGGAAAAGCUUGGAAAUGGACUAACCGAACAAGGCAAACAGAAAUCAAUCCUCAGCAGAAGUUUUGGUAUACUUUCACGAAGGAGACAUGCAGACACAGUAAUCCCCCAGAAUCUGCUCCUGGCAAGCAGCACUCCCUGAUCACUUGCAAUCUGGCAGAACAUGUCACCCAAAGCCAAGGAAAGGCAAAAGUGACAGUACACACCAAAUUACUGUAAAAAUCCUUUGUUUCCUGUACAAUCCCUUCAAGAAAAUGAAGAUUACACGAGUGUCCUGCUGGAAAAUGAUUCAUUUCCACAUUUGCUGGGGAGCGUCAGGAAGCUAAGGAGCAACAAAAUCAGCACAAGCUGUGACACAGAACCUUUGGUUUCCCAGCUCUUGUAUACAUUUCUUCAAUAUACUGUGAGAUGUGCUGAGAGACCUUAAAACCUUUAAUAGCAAUCAUCAGGUUUUCGGUACCUUAUUAAUGACGAAACUUUAUAUUGUGUUUUUUGUUUAAAUCUCUCAAGUCUCUUUUAUUUUAAAAAUAGAAAUACCUUUCUGAGAACUUAGCUGUCUGUCCUUCUUUGAAAGCUUGAUAACCAUUUAUAUUCCUUAAUCAAACAUUAGUCUUCGG